AGGCCUUGACAUGCAGAGAACUUCAGAGAUGGAUUGGUGCCUUCGGGAACUCUGACACAGGUGCUGCAUGGCUGUCGUCAGCUCGUGUCGUGAGAUGUUGGGUUAAGUCCCGUAACGAGCGCAACCCUUGUCCUUAGUUACCAGCACGUUAUGGUGGGCACUCUAAGGAGACUGCCGGUGACAAACCGGAGGAAGGUGGGAUGACGUCAAGUCAUCAUGGCCCUUACGGCCUGGGCUACACACGUGCUACAAUGGUCGGUACAAAGGGUUGCCAAGCCGCGAGGUGGAGCUAAUCCCAUAAAACCGAUCGUAGUCCGGAUCGCAGUCUGCAACUCGACUGCGUGAAGUCGGAAUCGCUAGUAAUCGUGAAUCAGAAUGUCACGGUGAAUACGUUCCCGGGCCUU
rnacentral:rRNA from 1 species